rnacentral:rRNA from 1 species
AUGAACAUCGACACCCCACCUACCCAAUUAGCAUUGGGUGUCAGCUUGGGUGAUAGCAGAUGCGGUAAGGAAGAGGCUCCAUUAGUCGCUGAUGACGUUACCAUGGAUGAGGAUGAGGAUGACGAUGGCACUCAACAGUAUGUCUAUACUGGCGCCUACUCAGGGUUUGAGCGUCAUGAGUCGGUGCCUGAAUUGCCGUCUCCGGAGGCUGAACGUAUUAUGGACGACCUUCCGGUAGUAAAGAAGUUUAGGAAGAGAGCGAGGAAAGGCCAAAAAGCUGAUUCUAUGAUCCAGCCUCCUCAGCAGCGUCGACUUCAGGACCGUAUAGAUACCCCCGAUGCGGAUAACUGGCGUAUCCCCGGUCAACCAAUCCUACCUGCAAGAGCGCUAGGGGCCAGAUACGGCGAUCUAAGGAGACUUCAUGACGAUGUGUUGCGGAUAGAGAAAGGCCUCAUCGCCUCGAAAGAUCUAGGAUACCCACUCUACGUGGUUAAAGUUCCACGGCAAUUGCCGUACGUCGACUGCUUCCCCGCGGAUAAGUCCUUCCUUCGGUUUGAUUACAUAUUCGACAUGUUUCACGUCAAGAAGCUGGAUUUUACGUUUGUCCACCUUUAUGCCUUGCACAUGAACUACAUCAUCGGGCUUGAGCAGAUACCUUAUAUCUGUGUCGCUGAUCCGUACUACAUGCACGAGGCCUUCUUGGGAGUCUGCACAAAGCACCGUGAAUACGCGAGGGAAUACAUCGUCAGUUUCAUGCUCGCCAAUAAGGACAAGGAGGCGAUUCUCGUGCCUUAUCAUCCCAUGUAA